GGACUACUAGGGUUUCUAAUCCUGUUUGCUACCCACGCUUUCGUGUCUCAGCGUCAACAAUGGUCCAGAAAGCCGUCUACACCGCAGGUGUUCCUCCUGAUAUCUACGCAUUUCACCGCUACACCAGGAAUUCCGCUUUCCUCUCCCACGUUCGAGCACUACAGUUUUCGGCGCACCCUCCCAGUUAAGCCGGGAGAUUUCACACCGAACUUGUAGCACCGCCUACACACUCUUUACGCCCAGUAAUUCCGAACAACGCUCGCUGCCUACGUAUUACCGCGGCUGCUGGCAC
rnacentral:rRNA from 1 species